CCUCAUGGAAGAACGGGAGAGGGAACCGCCUCUCCGUGUGGCCUAGGCCAGGAUGAUGGCCGAGAGGCGCAGGCCAUCCCACGUGGUCCCCUGCGCCCAGGUUUGAAAAAGCAGCCCUGUCUCUGAUGAAUUAUAAUCAAAGGAACACUGGAUGGACCCAGAGAGAUCAAACCUAGGAGACAAAAGUGAAACAAGAAAACUCCCCAGAAAGAUUGGAAUUCAAAGGAUUUAUAUUUGAAAAUGAAGAAUGUGGACCUCAUGUUCCAGCCGAAGCACUUUCUCUCAUCUUUCCUCAGUGAAGAUACAAAAAAAGGACAGCAUAUUCACGGAUGGGCUUGAAUAAGAGUCUUCUGGCAAUUUCAGCUUCCUCAACUGUAUCAUGAAGAACUAUUUCUUGAAUAAAAGAGAAGGUUUCUUUAGUUUUCUCUUGAGACCCUACCACUCCUCCUUGCUUGUUAUAGAAAGCCAGAGAUUUUGCAUUGUCCCUCUUGGCAGCCCAUACAUAACUAACACAUAGCCUUACAUAUAGUUGAUUGCCGUUAAAAAUACUUUGCUGGAAGAGUGAAAGUUGUUGAAUAUUUGG
rnacentral:lncRNA from 12 species